ensembl:lncRNA LINC00844 long intergenic non-protein coding RNA 844
AUUUAAAAGAAUGCUGCCCCUGCUCAAAGGCCUGCAGUGAGCCAUGCCAAUGUGGUUUGGCUGGACUGUGAGUGCUUGAUGCAGUCUGAUAGGAGGAUGGGGGUGGCGCAGAGAACAUUGAAAUCAGAAAGGAUUCUGCUCUGUAGAGACAAAGGAAACACAGAGACAUAGACAUGGAUCUGGGAAAUACACCUUUUGCUACUCGUUCAGUUUUAGCAAGGAGGUUUCUUGCAUGGCUAAGCAAAACUUAAACUUCCUCUGAGAAUUACAGGAAUUACAGGACCUGACAAAGCUAUGAAGAUUAAAACCUAUAGGAAGAAAAUCUGAACCAGAAACAGUAUGGCAGAAUUGGGAUCUGACUCACAGAGGGAAGAACUUAUAAUUCUUCACAGGUCACAUAGAAGCAUGAGAAUUUGGGUUCAAGCAAACGCCUAAAUACCUGACGUGUGACAGCAAAUGCCUGUUCCCAUGGAGCUGCUGCUUCUGAGAAAGCUUGAAACAGACAAAGAAUAAGGUAGAAAUGACCUCCUCACUAGAGAUGAAAAGAAGCUGUCCUGGUGAGGAAAUUGGAUCCCAGCUUUUGCCGCUAAGAUUCUUCUCUUCUGCCUCUGGUUUUCUUUAUUGUUCACCCCCAGAAGCAAUCGCUCUCUCACAAGGCAACACACGCAAUAGAGUGAACAGUGAUUCUACAGUCUGAUUCUGGAAAAGGCGACCACAGUGGAAAGAGUGAUCCACACAAGUAUAGGGCCUCCUGAUUAAAACACUAAGAUUUCAUCUCACGCUGUGCCUUUAUACUGUUGAGAUACUAAAGAGGACACUAAAGAUCAAAGUGCUACUUUACAACAUUUUGAAGAAAACAACUGCUACCUGUGUAUUAGUUUGUGCAGAUGUGUUACACAGCUUAGCUGUGUCUGUACCAGUUUAUUAGAAUCAAAGUAUUUUUAAAGUACCUAAGGCCAGGCACAGUGGCUCACACCUGUAAUCCCAGCACUUUGGGAGGCUGAGGCAAGUGGAUCACUUGAGAUCAGGAAUUCAAGACCAGCCUGGCCAACAUGGUGAAACCCCAUCUCUACUAAAAAUACAAAAAUUAGCCAGGCAUGGUGUCACAUGCCUGUAAUCCCAGUGACUCAAGAGGCUGAGGUAUGAGAAUCAAUCGUUUGAACUCAGAAGGAGAGGUUGCAGUGAGUGGAGAUAGCAACACUGUACUCCAGCCUGGGUGACAGAGUGAGAUCCAGUCUCAAAAAAAAAAAAAAAAAAAAAAAAAGUACCUAAAACUUGUGAUAUGGUUUGGCCUUGUCCCCACCCAAAUCUCAUAUUGAAUUGAAUUAUGGGGAGAGGUCUUUCCUGCGCUGUUCUUAUGAUAGUGAAUGAGUUUCAUGAGAUCUGAUGGUUUUAAAAAUGGGAGUUUCCCUGCACAAGCUCUCUUUUGUUGCCUGCUGCCAUCCACGUAAGAUGUGACUUGCUCCUCUUUACCUUCCACCAUGAUUUUGAGGCCUCCCCAGUCCUGUGGAACUGUAAGUUCAAUAAACCUCUUUCUUUUGUAAAUU